rnacentral:rRNA from 1 species
AUACGAAGGGUGCAAGCGUUACUCGGAAUUACUGGGCGUAAAGCGUGCGUAGGCGGUUGUUUAAGUCGGUCGUGAAAGCUCCGGGCUUAACCUGGGAAUGGCGAUGGAAACUGGGCGACUAGAGUGUGGCAGAGGGAAGUGGAAUUCCUGGUGUAGCAGUGAAAUGCGUAGAGAUCAGGAGGAACAUCCGUGGCGAAGGCGACUGCCUGGGCCAACACUGACACUGAGGCACGAAAGCGUGGGGAGCAAACAGGAUUAGAUACCCUGGUAGUCCACGCCCUAAACGAUGCGAACUGGAUGUUGGGUGCAAUUUGGCACGCAGUAUCGAAGCUAACGCGUUAAGUUCGCCGCCUGGGGAGUACGGUCGCAAGACUGAAACUCAAAGGAAUUGACGGGG